rnacentral:rRNA from 1 species
GACAUGCAGAGAACUUUCCAGAGAUGGAUUGGUGCCUUCGGGAACUCUGACACAGGUGCUGCAUGGCUGUCGUCAGCUCGUGUCGUGAGAUGUUGGGUUAAGUCCCGUAACGAGCGCAACCCUUGUCCUUAGUUACCAGCACGUUAUGGUGGCACUCUAAGGAGACUGCCGGUGACAAACCGGAGGAAGGUGGGGAUGACGUCAAGUCGUCAUGGCCCUUACGGCCUGGGCUACACACGUGCUACAAUGGUCGGUACAAAGGGUUGCCAAGCCGCGAGGUGGAGCUAAUCCCAUAAAACCGAUCGUAGUCCGGAUCGCAGUCUGCAACUCGACUGCGUGAAGUCGGAAUCGCUAGUAAUCGUGAAUCAGAAUGUCACGGUGAAUACGUUCCCGGGCCUU